ACUGAACGCUGGCGGCAUGCCUAACACAUGCAAGUCGAACGGCAGCACAGUAUGUAGCAAUACAUAUGGGUGGCGAGUGGCGGACGGGUGCGUAAUAUGUAGGGAUCUGCCCUGAAGCGGGGGACAACCCGGGGAAACCCGGGCUAAUACCGCAUAAUACUCUACGGAGGAAAUCUGGCACGCAAGUGCUGGGGCUUUAGGAUGAACCUACAUCCGAUUAGCUAGUUGGUGAGGUAAUAGCUCACCAAGGCAAUGAUCGGUAGCUGGUCUGAGAGGAUGACCAGCCACACUGGGACUGAGACACGGCCCAGACUCCUACGGGAGGCAGCAGUGGGGAAUAUUGGACAAUGGGGGAAACCCUGAUCCAGCAAUGCCGCGUGGGUGAAGAAGGCCUUCGGGUUGUAAAGCCCUUUAGGCGGGGAAGAAGGUUAUAGGGUGAUAAGCCUUAUAGCUUGACGGUACCCGCAGAAUAAGCACCGGCUAACCCUGUGCCAGCCGCCGCUGUAA
rnacentral:rRNA from 1 species